UUUUAUGGAGAGUUUGAUCCUGGCUCAGAGUGAACGCUGGCGGCGUGCCUAAUACAUGCAAGUCGAACGAUGAAGCUUCUAGCUUGCUAGAAGUGGAUUAGUGGCGCACGGGUGAGUAAGGUAUAGUUAAUCUGCCCUACACAAGAGGACAACAGUUGGAAACGACUGCUAAUACUCUAUACUCCUGCUUAACACAAGUUGAGUAGGGAAAGUUUUUCGGUGUAGGAUGAGACU
rnacentral:rRNA from 1 species